rnacentral:rRNA from 1 species
AACGAACGCUGGCGGCAGGCCUAACACAUGCAAGUCGAGCGCCCCGCAAGGGGAGCGGCGGACGGGUGAGUAACACGUGGGAAUUUUCCUCAAGGUACGGAACAACUCAGGGAAACUUGGGCUAAUACCGUAUGAUGCAGAGAUGCCAAAGAUUUAUCGCCUUGGGAUAAGCCCGCGUCAGAUUAGGUAGUUGGUGGGGUAAUGGCCUACCAAGCCUGUGAUCUGUAGCUGGUCUGAGAGGACGAUCAGCCACAUUGGGACUGAGACACGGCCCAAACUCCUACGGGAGGCAGCAGUGGGGAAUCUUGCGCAAUGGACGAAAGUCUGACGCAGCCAUGCCGCGUGAAUGAUGAAGGUCUUAGGAUUGUAAAGUUCUUUAGCCUGUGACGAUGAUGACGGUAACAGGAGAAUAAGCCCCGGCUAACUUCGUGCCAGCAGCCGCGGUAAUACGAAGGGGGCUAGCGUUGUUCGGAAUUACUGGGCGUAAAGCGCGCGUAGGCGGUUAUGCAAGCCAGAGGUGAAAUGCCUGAGCUCAACUUAGGAAUUGCCUUUGGAACUGCAUGGCUUUGAGGACGAGAGAGGUGAGUGGAAUUCCCAGUGUAGAGGUGAAAUUCGUAGAUAUUGGGAAGAACACCGGUGGCGAAGGCGGCUCACUGGCUCGUAUC